CCUACGGGUGGCAGCAGUGAGGAAUAUUGGUCAAUGGUCGGGAGACUGAACCAGCCAAGCCGCGUGCGGGAUGAAGGUACAGAGUAUCGUAAACCUCUUUUGUAAGGGAACAAAGGCGGGUACGUGUCCACGUAUGAGUGUACCUGAAGAAAAAGCAUCGGCUAACUCCGUUCACGCAGCCGCGGUAAUAAGGAGGAUGCGAGCGUUAUCCGGAUUUAUGGGGGUUAAAGGGUGCGCAGGCGGUCUGUAAAGUCUGCGGUAAAACCCCGGGGCUCACCCCCGCCCCGCCGUUGAAACUGGCAGUCUCGAGUUGGAGAGAAGUAUGCGGAAUGCGCGGUGUAGCGGUGAAAUGCAUAGAUAUCGCGAAGAACUCCGAUUGCGAAGGCAGCAUGCCGGCUCCACACUGACGCUGAGGCACGAAAGCGUGGGUAUCGAACAGGAUUAGAUACCCGAGUAGUC
rnacentral:rRNA from 1 species